CUGGGGGGGCCUAUACAUGCAGUCGAGCGGACAGAUGGGAGCUUGCUCCCUGAUGUUAGCGGCGGACGGGUGAGUAACACGUGGGUAACCUGCCUGUAAGACUGGGAUAACUCCGGGAAACCGGGGCUAAUACCGGAUGGUUGUUUGAACCGCAUGGUUCAGACAUAAAAGGUGGCUUCGGCUACCACUUACAGAUGGACCCGCGGCGCAUUAGCUAGUUGGUGAGGUAACGGCUCACCAAGGCAACGAUGCGUAGCCGACCUGAGAGGGUGAUCGGCCACACUGGGACUGAGACACGGCCCAGACUCCUACGGGAGGCAGCAGUAGGGAAUCUUCCGCAAUGGACGAAAGUCUGACGGAGCAACGCCGCGUGAGUGAUGAAGGUUUUCGGAUCGUAAAGCUCUGUUGUUAGGGAAGAACAAGUGCCGUUCAAAUAGGGCGGCUCCUUGACGGUCCCUAACCAGAAAGCCACGGCUAACUACGUGCCAGCUACCGCGGUUAUACGUAGGUGGCAAGCGUUGCCCGGAUUUAUUGGGCGUAAAGGGCUCGCAGGCGGUUUCUUAAGUCUGAUGUGAAAGCCCCCGGCUCAACCGGGGAGGGUCAUUGGAAAUUGGGGAACUUGAGUGCAGAAGAGGAGAGUGGAAUUCCACGUGUAGCGGUGAAAUGCGUAGAGAUGUGGAGGAACACCAGUGGCGAAGGCGACUCUCUGGUCUGUAACUGACGCUGAGGAGCGAAAGCGUGGGGAGCGAACAGGAUUAGAUACCCUGGUAGUCCACGCCGUAAACGAUGAGUGCUAAGUGUUAGGGGGUUUCCGCCCCUUAGUGCUGCAGCUAACGCAUUAAGCACUCCGCCUGGGGAGUACGGUCGCAAGACUGAAACUCAAAGGAAUUGACGGGGGCCCGCACAAGCGGUGGAGCAUGUGGUUUAAUUCGAAGCAACGCGAAGAACCUUACCAGGUCUUGACAUCCUCUGACAAUCCUAGAGAUAGGACGUCCCCUUCGGGGGCAGAGUGACAGGUGGUGCAUGGUUGUCGUCAGCUCGUGUCGUGAGAUGUUGGGUUAAGUCCCGCAACGAGCGCAACCCUUGAUCUUAGUUGCCAGCAUUCAGUUGGGCACUCUAAGGUGACUGCCGGUGACAAACCGGAGGAAGGUGGGGAUGACGUCAAAUCAUCAUGCCCCUUAUGACCUGGGCUACACACGUGCUACAAUGGGCAGAACAAAGGGCAGCGAAACCGCGAGGUUAAGCCAAUCCCACAAAUCUGUUCUCAGUUCGGAUCGCAGUCUGCAACUCGACUGCGUGAAGCUGGAAUCGCUAGUAAUCGCGGAUCAGCAUGCCGCGUAAUUGCCGC
rnacentral:rRNA from 1 species